rnacentral:rRNA from 1 species
CCCUUAGAUGUUCUGGGCUGCACGCGCGCUACACUGAUGCAUGCAACGAGUUUUCGACCUUGCCUGAAAAGGUUGGGUAAUCUGUUUAACAUGUGUCGUGAUGGGGAUAGACCAUUGCAAUUAUUGAUCUUCAACGAGGAAUUCCUAGUAAGCGCGAGUCAUCAGCUCGUGCUGAUUAUGUCCCUGCCCUUUGUACACACCGCCCGUCGCUCCUACCGAUUUCGAGUGAUUCGGUGAACCUUUUGGACAGCGUCUGUCCUCGUGUCAGAUGCUGAAAGUCAAGUAAACCAUAUCACUUAGAGGAAGGAGAAGUCGUAACA